CAGUUUAUGAUGCUUCAUUAUAUUGCGGCUAGCUUCAAAACAUGAUUGUGUCUCACCACAAUAAAAUAGGUUCACUACUGAUUGAUCCAAUUAUUUGAAGACUUGAGGUUACAAGUGAAGUAGCAAGUUCCGAAGACGUCAUAUAAGUUAGGAAGAUUCUUAUGUUUUUGCUCUUAUAUUUUUGUUAAGGGGUUGUGUAAACAGUACCUUGAAAUAUUAUAACUAGUUGGGUGAUAAUUAGAUUUUUUUUUUUUUUUUAAAUUUAGUACAAAUCUUAUAUUUGUAUGUAUAUUUCUGUAUGAAAGCUUGAUUCUAUCGAAAAAUUUGAUUUCCGCAUAUUGAAAAUUG